GGAAAGCAUAUCAAUUAAACUGUUAAUAGCUAUCCCUUCUGGCACCUUGGUAACUCACUUUGCUUUCUCUACUGCAAAUGUGUCAUCCAAUAAACUAGCCGUUAACUGUAAACUAUUCUCACAAACUACUUUUUCCCUUACAUGAAAUACAUCCUAUCCUUACCUCUUGUGCCACUCUACCAAAUGACUGCCAGAAUGUAAGCUUGUUUGAGCAGGGCCCGCAGCACACUCUGUUCCUGUGAGUCCAAAUAUUCGUCAGAGUACAGAAUAUUUGAUAGAGUCCUAACCUCAACAUAUGAGGAAAGGGAUUUAGGGGU